rnacentral:rRNA from 1 species
UAGGGAAUCUUCCACAAUGGACGCAAGUCUGAUGGAGCAACGGCCGCGUGAGUGAAGAAGGUUUUCGGACCGUAAAGCUCUGUUGUUGGUGAAGAAGGAUAGAGGUAGUAACUGGCCUUUAUUUGACGGUAAUCAACCAGAAAGUCACGGCUAACUACGUGCCAGCAGCCGCGGUAAUACGUAGGUGGCAAGCGUUGUCCGGAUUUAUUGGGCGUAAAAGCGAGCGCAGGCGGAAGAAUAAGUCUGAUGUGAAAGCCCUCGGCUUAACCGAGGAAUUGCAUCGG